GCAUUUUGCUAAUCAUUUUAUCCCCUUUUAAGUCUUCCCAGUCACCUGGUGAGAUACUUUCUUGAUCUCAUUUCAAAGGUGGAAAAACUGAACCUCAGCAAGGCUAAGUGUUUUGCUGAGGAUUUUACAUCUAAAAUCCAUUCUCUAUUCUUGCUUACUAACAGGUCUCCAAUUUUGUUUGAGUUUGCAGUGAGCUCAGCUGAAAAUACUGAGCUGCUAGCCUAACACAAUUCAGGCUGGCCACAUGACCAGUUAUGGCCAAUUCAGUUGAAGCAGAGAUUGCUAUUCUAAAGGAAGACUCAACAGAACAGGACUUUUCAGCCUUUUGACCCUCAUCUUUCCUCUUUUCUUCUCCCAAAUUAGCAGGUGAAGCCUGUGUGGGUAGUAGUCAUCUCAUAACCAUGGCUGAAAACCACAAGCUAAGAAUGGCAGGACAGGAGGCUAGGAGAAGCCUGGACCUGAGGAAAUUCUUGAAGACUGCACAAGCCCAUGUUUACGCAAUACAAGAUGACUCCUGCCCUUCUAGGAAGAAUCUCUUACUAAAAUGAAAGGUAAAUUCUGUGGUCAUUUACUAUCUUUGUUGUUUCCAACUUCAUUUAAAAUAUGUUUUCUUUAAAAGAGCUUCAAUGAUUCUUGCAAAUAAUACAGAUGGCAAAAGCACAAAGGAACUCAUUUAUCACAUUAAAGUGGUUUCACAAUAGCUUCAUCAAAAAGAGUUAAAUGAGAAUUUUUCAUUUUCAAAAUUAUGUGUACCUAAAAUAGAAUCAUAAAUAUGCUAUCAUAGAUCUAAAGAAAGACAAGAUCUCUUCUGAAAUUAUAACUAUUUAUUUUUUGUUCAGAAAAUAAUUUGCAUUAUUUUGAAACAAAUGAAAGGACUGUAUAUUAAAGAAAUGUAAGUUUAGCUGAUUUCAUACGAUAAGUAUUCAAUAAGAUGAGCAUCACCUGAGUAAGAGUCUUCGGUUAAAUAGUUCCAAAUCUGUAAUCUCUAUAUAGUAUGGUAAAGAUUGCUUGGUGUUUAUUAUAGCUGUAAACAUUUAAUGGCUGAUAAUUAAAUAAACAGCAUCCAUACCGAAUCCUGCAAGACUUAAUUAAACAUAGCAUACUGCAGAUGUGAGAUUUAUAUUACUAUUUAUAAUUAAAUGUAAAACACAAUUGCUCAUAUGAGUCC
rnacentral:lncRNA from 1 species